AGAGUUGAUCAUGGCUCAGGAUGAACGCUAGCGACAGGCUUAACACAUGCAAGUCGAGGGCAUCACGGGAGUAGCAAUACAACUGGUGGCGACCGGCGCACGGGUGAGUAACGCGUAUGCAACCUACCUAUCAGAGGGGAAUAACCCGGCGAAAGUCGGACUAAUACCGCAUAAAACAGGGGCACCGCAUGGUGAUAUUUGUUGAAGAAAUUCGCUGAUAGAUGGGCAUGCGUUCCAUUAGGUAGUUGGUGAGGUAACGGCUCACCAAGCCGACGAUGGAUAGGGGAACUGAGAGGUUGGUCCCCCACACUGGUACUGAGACACGGACCAGACUCCUACGGGAGGCAGCAGUGAGGAAUAUUGGUCAAUGGGCGGGAGCCUGAACCAGCCAAGUCGCGUGAGGGAAGAAGGAUCUAUGGUUCGUAAACUUCUUUUGCAGGGGAAUAAAGUGCAGGACGUGUCCUGUUUUGUAUGUACCCUGAGAAUAAGGAUCGGCUAACUCCGUGCCAGCCGCCGC
rnacentral:rRNA from 1 species